UGGCGUCGUAGAGCAGUUCGACCAGUUCGCCGGUCGUCUGCAACGGUGCGGUGGCGCGGCGACGCAGCACGGCCGUGGCGAUCCGGCCGGCGUGGC
rnacentral:tRNA from 1 species